rnacentral:rRNA from 1 species
UGGGGAAUCUUGCGCAAUGGCCGAAAGGCUGACGCAGCGACGCCGCGUGUGGGAGGAAGCUCUUCGGGGUGUAAACCACUGUUGCCCGGGACGAACGAUGAGCAUUGGCUCAUGUGACGGUACCGGGUGAGGAAGCACCGGCUAACUCUGUGCCAGCAGCCGCGGUAAUACAGAGGGUGCGAGCGUUGUCCGGAAUCACUGGGCGUAAAGGGCGCGUAGGCGGCUCGAUAAGGUUGCGGUGAAAGCCCGGGGCUCAACCCCGGGGUCGGCCGCGGCAACUGUCGAGCUGGAGCACUGUAGAGGCAGGUGGAAUUCCGGGUGUAGCGGUGGAAUGCGUAGAGAUCCGGAAGAACACCGGUGGCGAAGGCGGCCUGCUGGGCAGUGGCUGACGCUGAGGCGCGACAGCGUGGGGAGCAAACAGGAUUAGAUACC